GAAGCCUGCGGUUCAAUUGGAGUCAACGCCAGGAAACUUACCAGGAGAGACAGCAGGUUGAGGGUCAGUCUGAAGAACUUACCUGACGAGCUGAGAGGAGGUGCAUGGCCGUCGCCAGCUCGUGCCGUGAGGCGUCCUGUUAAGUCAGGCAACGAGCGAGACCCCUAUCGGUAAUUGCUAACUGCUCAGAGAUGGGCAGAGGCUAGUUACAGAGACUGCCGUUGAUAAAACGGAGGAAGGAAGGGGCCACGGCAGGUCAGUAUGCCCCGAAACUCCUGGGCCACACGCGGGCUGCAAUGGUAGGGACAAUAGGUUCCGACCUCGAAAGAGGAAGGCAAUCCCCAAACCCUACCCCAGUUGUGAUCGAGGAUUGAAACCCGUCCUCGUGAAUAUGGAAUCCCUAGUAACCGCGUGUCAUCACCGCGCGGUGAAUACGUCCCUGCUCCUUGC
rnacentral:rRNA from 1 species